rnacentral:rRNA from 1 species
GAGGAAUAUUGCACAAUGGGCGAAAGCCUGAUGCAGCAACGCCGCGUAGGGGAUGAAGGUCUUCGGAUCGUAAACCCUUUUUCUGGGGGACGAGAAAGGACGGUACCCCAGGAAUAAGUCUCGGCUAACUACGUGCCAGCAGCCGCGGUAAAACGUAGGAGGCGAGCGUUAUCCGGAAUUACUGGGCGUAAAGCGCACGCAGGCGGUUUCGUUAGUCCGACGUGAAAGCUCCUGGCUUAACUGGGAGAGGCCGUUGGAUACUGCGGAACUUGAGGUUGGGAGAGGAAAGUGGAAUUCCCGGUGUAGUGGUGGAAUGCGUAGAUAUCGGGAGGAACUCCAGUGGCGAAAGCGACUUUCUGGCCUACACCUGACGCUGAGGUGCGAAAGCGUGGGGAGCGAAC